rnacentral:rRNA from 1 species
AGGGAAUCUUCCGCAAUGGACGCAAGUCUGACGGAGCAACGCCGCGUGAGUGAGGAAGGCCUUCGGGUCGUAAAACUCUGUUGUCAGGGAAGAACAUCCGGGAUGAGCUCCCGGUCUGACGGUACCUGAUCAGAAAGCCCCGGCUAACUACGUGCCAGCAGCCGCGGUAAUACGUAGGGGGCAAGCGUUGUCCGGAAUUAUUGGGCGUAAAGCGCGCGCAGGCGGUUUCUUAAGUCUGGUGUGAAAGCCCGCAGCUCAACUGCGGAGGGCCACUGGAAACUGGGAAGCUUGAGUGUAGGAGAGGAGAGCGGAAUUCCACGUGUAGCGGUGAAAUGCGUAGAGAUGUGGAGGAACACCUGUGGCGAAAGCGGCUCUCUGGCCUAUAACUGACGCUGAGGCGCGAAAGCGUGGGGAGCAAAC